rnacentral:rRNA from 1 species
UACGAAGGGGGCUAGCGUUGUUCGGAAUUACUGGGCGUAAAGCGCACGUAGGCGGAUAUUUAAGUCAGGGGUGAAAUCCCAGAGCUCAACUCUGGAACUGCCUUUGAUACUGGGUAUCUUGAGUAUGGAAGAGGUAAGUGGAAUUGCGAGUGUAGAGGUGAAAUUCGUAGAUAUUCGCAGGAACACCAGUGGCGAAGGCGGCUUACUGGUCCAUUACUGA